CAUUCUUGUCUAUUGGAUUGCAUCCCAUUGGUGAGAUCUUUUCAACUAUUAACUUUUAAAUUUUUCUUAGGAUUAGUCUCUUCAUCUCCUCCCAUUUCUUAAAUUUCAAAUCUCUCCCCCUUUUCAAUAUCUUAUUUUCUUGUGAUUUCUAAACUUAGACUUUAUUGCAAAUUAGAAACUUUGGCCUUAUGCCAUUGCCUUUUUACACUUU
rnacentral:lncRNA from 1 species